CGCCGCAAAAUUAUUUUGUAGGGGUGGAGGAGGGGUCCUAGAUGUAAGAUGUAAACCAUCAUGGCUAGAAACCCAAUACCUUUCUUAUUAGAACAAGUCUUCACCCAUAUAUUGACCUCCCUAAUCUCCUGCUGCUGUCUCACUGAAGCUUGUGGCACAGGUGGCAAACUACUACUUUGGAUGUUUGCUUCCUAAAUUCCUGAACUAAUGCUUUGGGAACCUACAUUUUCCUCUGACUUUGUCAUUGGUACCAAUAUGGACCAUGGCAGUAAGGUAUCUCUAAACUACUCCCAAUUAACUAUUUACUCUAACCAUGCUGAACCAGUGCACCAAGGACAAAGCAAACUGUCCAUUUGAGGUUAUCAGAGAAGCUUAUUACACUGUUUACUCUCAAUAGAAUUCCCUGCCACCACAACCUACCUAGUAUUUCCUCCAUGCUAUCCAUAUUAGUGUAGCUGCUCUCUUGAGUGUUAAAAAGGAGUGGUUUCCACUAGCACAACCACUCCAAACAUCUUAGCUAAAACAAGCAAAUUACUGAAGCGUUUUAAAAAAAAAAAAAAA